AUUCUUAUAGUUGAAUUACAACGGUGGUUUUUCAUACCAUUAGUCAUGGUUAAAUUCCAUGUGGGGAUA
rnacentral:tRNA from 1 species